rnacentral:rRNA from 1 species
GACGUAGGGCGCGAGCGUUGUCCGGAUUUAUUGGGCGUAAAGAGCUCGUAGGCGGUUUGUCGCGUCGUCUGUGAAAACCCACGGCUCAACUGUGGGCUUGCAGUCGAUACGGGCAGGCUAGAGUUCGGUAGGGGAGACUGGAAUUCCUGGUGUAGCGGUGAAAUGCGCAGAUAUCAGGAGGAACACCGGUGGCGAAGGCGGUUCUCUGGGAAUGUCCUGACGCUGAGGAGCGAAAGUGUGGGGAGCGAACAGG